rnacentral:ncRNA from 1 species
ACGAAAUAAUAAAACAUUGUGAUAGCCGGAGACGAUGUUGACGCAAUGUGAUUUCUGCCCAGUGAUUUGAAUGUCAAAAUGAAGAGAUUCAACCAAGCGCGGGUAAACGACGGGAGUAACUAUGUCUCUCUUAAGGUAGCCAAAUGCCUCGUCAAUGUAGCUAAUUACUGAUGGAAAUAA